rnacentral:sRNA from 1 species
ACAGGACGGGUUGGCUACAGCGCAGCUGCGGCUGCGCGAGCUCGGCCACGAGAAGGACUCGCUGCAGCGCCAGCUCAGCAUCGCGCUGCCCCAGGUCUGGGCGGGACAGGGGCGGGGCCUGAGGGGGCGGGGCCUCGGCUGAGAAGGCGGUCCGGAAGGGGCCGGGCUUGGCGCCUGGAAGGGAGGAGUCUGGGCGAGGCUUGCCGUUAAUGGGCGGGGCCUGAGUGGCAAGGGACAGCGGGACUUAGCAGGGAGGGCGGGACCUUCAAACUUCCAGUCCCAGUGAAUGAAGGAGACAGGGAAAGGAUUGAGCUGAAUGUCCCGAUCCUGCCAAUGUCUGGACAGGAGUUUGCAGCUCUGACGAAGGAGCUGAACUUAUGUCGGGAGCAGCUGCUGGAGAGGGAGGAAGAGAUUGCAGAGCUGAAGGCGGAACGGAACAACACGCGGCUGCUCCUGGAACACCUGGAGUGCCUGGUGUCCAGGCACGAGAGGUCACUGCGCAUGACCGUGGUGAAGCGCCAGGCCCAGUCCCCGGGUGGGGUCUCCUCAGAGGUAGAAGUGCUCAAGGCUCUAAAGUCUCUCUUCGAGCACCACAAGGCCCUGGAUGAGAAGGUCCGGGAGCGGCUGCGGAUGGCGCUGGAGCGCGUGGCAGUGCUCGAGGAGGAGCUGGAACUGAGCAAUCAGGAGACUCUUGCCAAUGGCCUGGGUCCUGGCGGGGAUUCCAACCGGCGCACAGCA